UACCGAACCGUCGACACGAGUUGUUGCUGGUCCUCAAACGGGGGCACGUGCACGCUCUGUCUACUCAUCCACUCACACCUGUGCACCCUCUGUAGUUCUAUGGCUUGUGGGGGACCCCGUCGUCCCUCCUGCCGUGGUUCUAUACCUUUACACACACUCUUUAACAAAGUCUCAUGGAAUGUAUGCCGCGUUUAACGCAAUAAAAUACAACUUUCAGCAACGGAUCUCUUGGCUCUCGCAUCGAUGAAGAACGCAGCGAAAUGCGAUAAGUAAUGUGAAUUGCAGAAUCCAGUGAAUCAUCGAAUCUUUGAACGCACCUUGCGCCCUUUGGCUAUUCCGAAGGGCAUGCCUGUUUGAGUAUCAUGAACACCUCAACUCUCACGGUUCGCCGUGAUGAGCUUGGACUUUGGGGGUCUUGCUGGCCUGUUGUCGGCUUCUCUCAAAUGAAUCAGCUUUCCAGUGUUUGGUGGAAUCACGGGUGUGAUAACUAUCUACGCUCGUGGUUUUCUGCCAGGUGUGCAACCUUCAGCGAUGGGGGUUUGCUGGGGCUAAUAAACGUCUCCCUCCAGCGGAGACAGCUUUGUGAACGUUUGAUCUC
rnacentral:misc_RNA from 1 species